AUUAACGGAACGACGGAUGGAAAACUAAUGACAAAGAAAACUCUUAACUUGGGAUUUGAUUGCGGUUCAAUUAUUUGGCUACAUAUAUGACCAUCUGUUGAAGUCAGCAUGAUUUACUGGGCUAUAUAAACAGGUCAAGUGCAUGAUACGUUCAUUGUCACUUGCUGUAUCUAUAUUCGUUUUGAGAAGAUAAAAAGUACAAUAUGAAGGGUGUUCUGUUUUUAUUCGUUGUCAUCAUUGCGUCAAUUUCUGUGCAAGCCGCCCCAAGAACUAAUUUGCUGUAUAAGUUUUGUCCAUUAAAGCUUUGUGAUGUGAAUAACAACUGUUUUCUAAGUUGUGAGGAAUGCAAUGCUGCUCCAAAACUUUGUCUUGAUCGUUACGUUCCUUCCUGUCGAAAAUGCGAAAGUCAUAACUUCCCGUUGGUCAGAUAUUAAUCCUGAUAAGACGCCGAAGAAGGGAUAUAGUGGCAUAAUUUAUUUAACAUGAAUAGCGUCGGUGAAAAAUGUAUCUCUUCCGUAUAUAGUAAAAACCAAUGUUAUAUUAAUUAAAUACGUAAAAUUUCUU